CGCGGCCUAUCAGCUUGUUGGUGGGGUAACGGCCCACCAAGGCAUCGACGGGUAGCUGGUCUGAGAGGACGAUCAGCCACACUGGGACUGAGACACGGCCCAGACUCCUACGGGAGGCAGCAGUGGGGAAUAUUGCGCAAUGGGCGAAAGCCCGACGCAGCAACGCCGCGUGGGGGAUGACGGCCCUCGGGUUGUAAACCCCUUUCAGCAGGGACGAAAAUGACGGUACCUGCAGAAGAAGCCCCGGCCAACUACGUGCCAGCAGCCGCGGUAACACGUAGGGGGCAAGCGUUGUCCGGAUUUAUUGGGCGUAAAGAGCUCGUAGGCGGUUGCGUAAGUCGGAUGUGAACACUCAGGGCUCAACCCGGAGACGCCAUCCGAUACUGCGCUGACUAGAGUCCGGUAGAGGAGCAUGGAAUUCCUGGUGUAGCGGUGAAAUGCGCAGAUAUCAGGAGGAACACCAGUGGCGAAGGCGGUGCUCUGGGCCGGUACUGACGCUGAGGAGCGAAAGCGUGGGUAGCGAACAGGAUUAGAUACCCUGGUAGUCCACGCCGUAAACGUUGGGCACUAGGUGUGGGGCCUCCUUAACGGGUUCCGUGCCGUAGCUAACGCAUUAAGUGCCCCGCCUGGGGAGUACGG
rnacentral:rRNA from 1 species